ACGUCCUGUAACGGCGGGGUGUUUCAAAUUGCUCUGUGUCAUUGAAUCUCCGAGCAUAUACAUCAGAUGAG